GUCUAUCAGGAGAUAUAAAUAGUCUAGCCUGCUCACUGACAUACACGUUAAAUAGCCGCGGUAUCUUGACCGUGCAAAGGUAGCAUAAUCAUUAGUUUUUUAAUUGAAAACUUGUAUGAAGGGUUGGACAAAGAAAAAACUGUCUUUGAAAUUAAGAUUGAAUUUAACUUUUAAGUGAAAAGGCUUAAAUAUUUUAGAGGGACGAUAAGACCCUAUAAAGCUUUAUAAGUCGAAGGAGUUUAUAUGUUUUGUUAAAAUAUAAGUAAACUCUGGGAGUUUUAUUCUGUUGGGGCGACAAAGGUAUAAAUAAAAUAACUGCUAUAGAAAAAAACACAUAUAGGUGAGUAAUGAAGAAUUAGUUGAUCCUUCGUUGAAGAUUAAAAGAUCAAGUUACUUUAGGGAUAACAGCGUUAUUUCCUUUGAGAGUUCUUAUCAAAAAGGAAGUUUGCGACCUCGAUGUUGAAUUAAAAUGUCUUUACGGUGCAGCAGCUGUAGGAGAAGGUCUGUUCGACCUUUAAUUUUUUACAUGAUUUGAGUUCAGACCGGCGUGAGCCAGGUCGGUUUCUAUCUUCUAGAAUUAAAUGGAUUACUUUAGUACGAAAGGAUUAAGUAGUCAAAAUUUUUUUAUGGUUUGGAAU
rnacentral:rRNA from 1 species